rnacentral:rRNA from 1 species
AUUGAACGCUGGCGGCAUGCUUUACACAUGCAAGUCGAACGGCAGCACGGGGGCAACCCUGGUGGCGAGUGGCGAACGGGUGAGUAAUAUAUCGGAACGUACCCGGAAAUGGGGGAUAACGUAGCGAAAGUUACGCUAAUACCGCAUAUGCCCUAAGGGGGAAAGCGGGGGAUUCGCAAGAACCUCGCGUUUUCGGAGCGGCCGAUAUCGGAUUAGCUAGUUGGUGAGGUAACGGCUUACCAAGGCGACGAUCUGUAGCGGGUCUGAGAGGAUGAUCCGCCACACUGGAACUGAGACACGGUCCAGACUCCUACGGGAGGCAGCAGUGGGGAAUAUUGGACAAUGGGCGCAAGCCUGAUCCAGCAAUGCCGCGUGUGU